rnacentral:miRNA from 1 species
UUUAUACGUCGAAUUUUGGUCGCGUCGAAUGUAAUUAAGACAAUAGAUAAUGAGAUGAUAAACUCAUUAAGCUUCAUUAUCUAUUGUUUGAAUUGCAUUCGACGCGACCAAAAUUCGACGUAUAUA